UACGUAGGGGGCAAGCGUUGUCCGGAAUCAUUGGGCGUAAAGCGCGUGUAGGCGGCCCGGUAAGUCCGCUGUGAAAGUCGGGGGGCUCAACCCUCGGAUGCCGGUGGAUACUGUCGGGCUAGAGUGCGGGAGAGGCGAGUGGAAUUCCUGGUGUAGCGGUGAAAUGCGCAGAUAUCGGGAGGAACACCAGUGGCGAAGGCGACUUCCUGGCCUGUUCUUGACGCUGAGGCGCGAAAGCUAGGGGAGCAAACGGG
rnacentral:rRNA from 1 species